CAUGAAGCUGGAUUCGCUAGUAAUCGCGCAUCAGCCACGGCGCGGUGAAUACGUUCCCGGGCCUUGUACACACCGCCCGUCAAGCCAUGAAAGCCGGGGGUACCUGAAGUGCGUAACCGCGAGGAGCGCCCUAGGGUAAAACUGGUGAUUGGGGCUAAGUCGUAACAAGGUAUC
rnacentral:rRNA from 1 species